GAAGAAAUAUUAACUGGCAAGUGGAA
rnacentral:piRNA from 1 species